GAUGAAGAACGCAGCGAAAUGCGAUAAGUAAUGUGAAUUGCAGAAUUCAGUGAAUCAUCGAAUCUUUGAACGCACAUUGCGCCCGCCAGUAUUCUGGCGGGCAUGCCUGUUCGAGCGUCAUUUCAACCAUCAAGCCCUAGGCUUGCGUUGGAGCCCUGCGGCUGCCGCAGGCCCCUAAAAGCAGUGGCGGGCUCGCUAUCACACCGAGUGCAGUAGAUUACUCUUCGCUCAGGGCGUGUGGCGGGUUCCAGCCGUGAAACCCCCUACUUCUCAAGGUUGACCUCGGAUCAGGUAGGAAUACCCGCUGAACUUAAGCAUAUCAAUAAGCGGAGGA
rnacentral:misc_RNA from 1 species